GUAGUUUGAUCAGUGCUACAGAACGAACGCUGGCGGCAGGCCUCAAACAUGCAAGUCUAGGGGGUGUAGCAAUACAUCACCGGCGGACGGGUGCAUAACGCGUGGGAAUAUACCUAUCGAUUCGGAACAACUGAGGGAAACUUCAGCUAAUACCGAAUACGUCCUAACGGAGAAAGAUUUAUCGUCGAUAGAUUAGCCCGCGUUCGAUUAGCUAGUUGGUGGGGUAACGGCCCACCAAGGCGACGAUCGAUAGCUGUUCUGAGAGGAAGAUCAGCCACACUGGGACUGAGACACGGCCCAGACUCCUACGGGAGGCAGCAGUUGGGAAUCUUGGACAAUGGGGGAAACCCUGAUCCAGCCAUGCCGCGUGAGUGAUGAAGGCCUUCGGGUUGUAAAACUCUUUCGCGCACGACGAUAACGACGGUAGUGCGAGAAGAAGCUCCGGCUAACUUCGUG
rnacentral:rRNA from 1 species